UAGAAAGCUUCUGGGUUCAGAUAUAGACAGUUUAAUAGGCAAAGCAGAAGCUGCACAUGCAAGCAAAGUAAAACAAAG